AGCGCCAGCACCCAGACACGAGGGAAAAACCUCAGUUAGGGUGGGAAAUGCGCAAGAUGUAAUCCCGCGCCCCAAACUGGAGCCGGGACGGAACAGAGGGCAAAGUCGGAGGGAAUUCCCGGCCUUUCGCCGGGGCUAAUGGAAUGAGUCAUCGACAGAGUGGAUUAUUUAAAGCACCAUGAGCUGGGCAUAUCAAAGCUUUUGACACGACUCGGGAAUGAUAGCGCUGCCCAUCGCUGCUGGUUUGAGCAGAAGGUUGCAGUUAUGCCCCCCUCACCUUCUAAGGGCUCCAGCGCUGUGCAGCUCUGUCUGGGAACG